rnacentral:rRNA from 1 species
AACGAACGCUGGCGGCAUGCCUAACACAUGCAAGUCGAACGAGACCUUCGGGUCUAGUGGCGCACGGGUGCGUAACGCGUGGGAACCUGCCCUUAGGUUCGGAAUAACUCCCCGAAAGGGGUGCUAAUACCGGAUAAUGUCUUCGGACCAAAGAUUUAUCGCCUUUGGAUGGGCCCGCGUUGGAUUAGCUAGUUGGUAGGGUAAAAGCCUACCAAGGCGAGGAUCCAUAGCUGGUCUGAGAGGAUGAUCAGCCACACUGGGACUGAGACACGGCCCAGACUCCUACGGGAGGCAGCAGUGGGGAAUAUUGGACAAUGGGGGGAAGCCUGAUCCAGCCAUGCCGGGUGAGUGAUGAAGGCCUUAGGGUUGUAAAGCUCUUUUAACCGGGAUGAUAAUGACAGUACCGGGAGAAUAAGCUCCGGCUAACUACGUG